CGCGUAGGCGGCCCUGCAAGUCCGAUGUGAAAUCCCUCGGCUCAACCGGGGACCCGCGUCGGAAACUGCAGGGCUUGAGUGCAGGAGAGGAGAGCGGAAUUCCCAGUGUAGCGGUGAAAUGCGUAGAUAUUGGGAGGAACACCGGUGGCGAAGGCGGCUCUCUGGACUGCUACUGACGCUGAGGCGCGAAAGCUAGGGGAGCAAACGGGAUUAGAUACCCCGGUAGUCCUAGCCGUAAACGUUGGGCACUAGGUGUGGGAGGUAUCGACCCCUUCCGUGCCGCAGCUAACGCAUUAAGUGCCCCGCCUGGGGAGUACGGCCGCAAGGUUGAA
rnacentral:rRNA from 1 species